rnacentral:rRNA from 1 species
CCUACGGGUGGCAGCAGUGGGGAAUAUUGCGCAAUGGGCGAAAGCCUGCCGCCGCGACGCCGCGUGAGGGAUGAAGGUCUUCGGAUCGUAAACCUCUGUCAGCAGGGAAGAACGGUCACUGUGCUAAUCAGCAGUGAAUUGACGGUACCUUCCAAGGAAGCACCGGCUAACUCCGUGCCCGCAGCCGCGGUAAUACGGAGGGUGCGAGCGUUAAUCGGAAUUACUUGGCGUAAAGCGCUCGUAGGCGGUAUGUCAAGUCAAGGGUGAAAUCCCCGCGCUCAACGUGGGAACUGCAUUUGAAACUGGCAAACUGGAGUGUGUGAGAGGAUAGUGGAAUUCCAGGUGUAGGGGUGAAAUCCGUAGAUAUCUGGAGGAACAUCAGUGGCGAAGGCGACUAUCUGGCACAUAACUGACGCUGAGGAGCGAAAGCGUGGGUAGCAAACAGGAUUAGAUACCCCUGUAGUC